CUUGCCUAGGGGCGCAGCAGUCGGGAAUAUUGCGCAAUGGAGGAAACUCUGACGCAGUGACGCCGCGUAUAGGAAGAAGGUUUUCGGAUUGUAAACUAUUGUCGUUAGGGAAGAUAAAAGACUGUACCUAAGGAGGAAGCCCCGGCUAACUAUGUGCCAGCAGCCGCGGUAAUACAUAGGGGGCAAGCGUUAUCCGGAAUUAUUGGGUGUAAAGGGUGCGUAGACGGAAGAACAAGUUGGUUGUGAAAUCCCUCGGCUCAACUGAGGAACUGCACCCAAAACUAUUCUCCUUGAGAGUCGGAGAG
rnacentral:rRNA from 1 species